rnacentral:rRNA from 1 species
UACGUAGGGGGCAAGCGUUGUCCGGAAUCAUUGGGCGUAAAGAGCGCGUAGGCGGUCCGGUAAGUCCGCUCUGAAAGUCCGGGGCUCAACCCCGGGAGGCGGGCGGAUACUGUCGGGCUAGAGUCCGGAAGAGGCGAGUGGAAUUCCUGGUGUAGCGGUGAAAUGCGCAGAUAUCAGGAGGAACACCAAUAGCGAAGGCAGCUCGCUGGGACGGUACUGACGCUGAGACGCGAAAGCGUGGGGAGCAAACAGG